GGAGGGAAGACUCACCCUGGGUGUGGGUGGUACCAGCCAAUAGGCUUUUAGCUGGGAUGGAAUACAAAGGGAAAGAAGGAGGAAAUCUGCCCUUUUCUUUGGAGGAGCUCCGGUCUUCACCCUCAUCUUUGGAUGUUCAUUUUCAGCCUUCUAGGGCAGACCUUCUGGUUUCCCAACAGGGAUUCACAUUGGCUCUGCAACCUUGGGCUGGAUCCUCUGGCUCUCCAGUGCACAGACGGCCAUUCAGACAGAGACCAGGACCAGUGCUUCCAUUUCCUGGGGACUUUCAUUGAGAGGUCACAAGAAAGGAAGGUACUCAGUUGGGCUGCUGAAUAUGUGUGAAGAGGCUACUGCUGUGCCUGGCAAAUGAAGGAUGAUAGAAUUCUUCCUUAAGGCACAUAGCAAAUGCUGGGAAGCCUGUGGGAGGAGCACAGUCCUGUUGGGAAAGCACAGGGGAAAUGUCCUGUGACUCCAGGGGAGAUCAGAGCAGACACAGUUGUCUGAGCUGGAACCUCUGGGCCUUUGUUGGCUCAUCUGUAAAAAGGCUGAAAUACUGGUGUCUACAGAGUUAUCGUAAGGACGAAUGGCAUCGUUGAUAAAACCUGGCACUCAGGAA
rnacentral:lncRNA from 1 species